UAUUUUUUUAAAAAAAUAAUUUUUUAUUAAAGUUUUAAACAACAAAACAAGAAAAACAACACACACAAAAAACAAUACAAAACUUAACAAUAAAAACACAAAACACAACAAUUAAAAACAAACUCUCUUUUCCAUUUCCAAUUUUAAAUUAUUUUCUAGACUUCCUCAAACCUCCCUCUUUUGUAUUCCAGUCCACAUUAUUUGUCCAGCAGUUUCUUUUCCACUUUUUUAAUCCCAAUCUUUAAUUUAAUAAAAUGUUAAAAUAUAUAACUUCAACUUUUUUAAACCUAAUCCUUGAUCUUAAUAUCAUAUAACUUUAAAAUUUUCCCUUUUAAUAUCAAAUUUCCAUUUCUUUAAACAUCUUUAAUCUUGAUCUUUAAUCUUAAUCUAUCCUUAACUUUAACCUGUGCAGCUGGAAACCACUUGUUUUCAGUCCAACAUCACUCUAACAUUCCUUAAUUUUACAGUGUUUCUGAAGAUAGUCUUUGAAUUUCUUCCAGUCUUCCUCCAUCGACUCUUCUCCCUGGUCACGGAUUCUACCAGUCAUUUCAGCCAAUUCCAUAUAGUCCAUAAGUUUCAUCUGCCAUUCCUCCAGCGUGGGAAGUUCUUGUGUCUUCCAAUACUUUGCGAUGAGUAUUCUUGCUGCUGUUGUUGCAUACAUAAAGAAAGUUCUAUCCUUUUUAACACCAUUUGGCCGACUAUGCCCAGGAGAAAGGCCUCUGGUUUCUUAGGGAAGGUAUACUUAAAUACCUUUUUCAAUUCAUUAUAUAUCAUUUCCCAGAAAGCCUUAAUCUUUGGGCACGUCCACCAAAGGUGAAAAAUGUACCUUCAGUUUCUUUACAUUUCCAACAUUUGUUGUCGGGCAAAUGAUAGAUUUUUGCAAGCUUGACUGGGGUUAUGUACCACCUGUAUAUCAUUUUCAUAAUAUUCUCUCUUAAGGCAUUACAUGCCGUAAAUUUCAUACCUGUGGUCCAUAACUGUUCCCAGUCAGCAAACAUAAUGUUAUGUCCUACGUCCUGUGCCCAUUUAAUCAUAGCCGAUUUUACCGUUUCAUCUUGAGUAUUCCAUUUCAGCAGCAAGUUAUACAUUCUUGACAAAUUCUUAGUCUUGGGUUCUAACAAUUCUGUUUCUAAUUUGGAUCUUUCCACCUGGAAGCCAAUUUUCCUGUCCAAUUUAAAUACCUCCAUUAUUUGAUAAUAAUGAAGCCAGUCUCGCACUUUGUUUUUUAGUUUUUCAAAACUCUGCAAUUUCAGUCUAUCUCCGUCUUGUUCCAAAAUUUCCCAAUAUUUCAGCCAUUUGACCUCCAUAUUGACCCUUUUCAAGGCUUUCGCUUCCAUUGGUGACAGCCACCUUGGGGUUUUAUUUUCU